CUUUAUUAUUAAUUUAGAUUUAUUGAUCUUUAGUUGAUUUAUUAAUAUGUUGUAUUAAAUGUAAAUUUAUAGGUAAUUAUGAUUAAAUUAGUAUAAUUUUAAUGUUAAGUUAAUUAUAUAAUUAAGAUAAAAUUAAGGAAUUCGGCAAAUUUGUUUUCUGCCUGUUUAUUAAAAACAUGUCUUUUUGUAAUUAUUUGAAGUCGGGCCUGCCCUAUGAUUAUUUAAAUGGCCGCGGUAUUUUGACCGUGCAAAGGUAGCAUAAUAAUUAGUUUCUUAAUUAGAAGCUGGUAUGAAUGGUUUGACAAGAAAAAUUCUGUCUCUAUUUUAUUAUUAGAAUUUAACUUUUGAGUCAAAAGGCUUAAAUGUUUUUAAAAGACGAGAAGACCCUAUAGAAUUUUAUAUAAAAUUUAAUUAAAAUUUUAUGGGUUAUUUCUUUUUAAGUAAGUUUGGUAUUUUGUUGGGGUGAUGGAAAAACUUAAAUAACUUUUUCUAAUUAUGUUCAUUAAUUUAUGA
rnacentral:rRNA from 1 species